GAGUGGCGCACGGGUGCGUAACGCGUAUGCAACCUACCUUUUACUAGAGUAUAGCCCAGAGAAAUUUGGAUUAAUCCUCUAUAAUAUCUUUUAAUUCCAUGAUUUUAAGAUUAAAGUUUUAACGGUAAAAGAUGGGCAUGCGUCCCAUUAGUUUGUAGGUGAGGUAACGGCUCACCUAGACUACGAUAGGUAGGGGCCCUGAGAGGGGGAUCCCCCACACUGGUACUGAGACACGGACCAGACUCCUACGGGAGGCAGCAGUAAGGAAUAUUGGACAAUGGACGAAAGUCUGAUCCAGCCAUGCCGCGUGCAGGAUGACAGCCCUACGGGUUGUAAACUGCUUUUAUACAGGAAGAAACACUCCGACGUGUCGGAGCUUGACGGUACUGUAAGAAUAAGGAUCGGCUAACUCCGUGCCAGCAGCCGCGGUAAUACGGAGGAUCCAAGCGUUAUCCGGAAUCAUUGGGUUUAAAGGGUCCGCAGGCUGUUUUUUAAGUCAGAGGUGAAAUCCUGCAGCUCAACUGUAGAACUGCCUUUGAUACUGGAAAACUUGAGUUAUUGUGAAGUGGUUAGAAUGUGUGGUGUAGCGGUGAAAUGCAUAGAUAUCACACAGAAUACCGAUUGCGAAGGCAGAUCACUAACAAUAUACUGACGCUCAUGGACGAAAGCGUGGGGAGCGAACAGGAUUAGAUACCCUGG
rnacentral:rRNA from 1 species